UAAAUCAACUAUUCGUGGUGUAAAAUGAUGAAAAAAGGAUCAUACAGUACGACGUAUAUUUCUUUGUAAAUAUUGAUGCAUUCUGAAAGCCGUAACUGUCAAGUAAGGAAGCACAUUUUAUACAGUGGGGUAAAAAAGUAUUUAGUCAUCCACCGAUUGUGCAAGUUCUCCCACGUAAAAUGAUGACAGAGGUCUGUAAUUUUCGUCAUACGUACACUUCAACUGUGAGAAACAUAGUAUGGAAAAAAAAUCCAGGAAUUCACAUUGUAGGAAUUUUAAAGAAUUUGUUUAUAAAUUAUGGUGGAAAAUAAGUAUUAGGUCAACCAUUCAAAGCUCUCACUGAUGGACGGAGGUUUUGGCUGAAAAUCUCACGAUACAUGGCCCCAUUCAAUCUUUCCUUAACACGGCUCAAUUGUCCGGUCCCCCUAGCAGAAAAACAGCCCCAAAGCAUGAUGUUUCUACCCUAUGCUUCACAACCACAUGACAUUCUCCCAAUCCUCUGCUGUAUCAUCCAUGUGUCCAUUUUGGUAUAAACUCAACUCGUCGUGUUUGGAGGAAGAAGAAUACUGAGUUGCAUCCCAAGAACACCACACCUACUGUGAAGCAUGGGGGUGGAAACAUCAUGCUUUGGGGCCAUGUAUCGUGAGUUUUUUAGCCAAAACAUCCUUCCAUCUGUGAGAGCUUUGAAUGGUUGAAAAAAUACUUAUUUUCCACCAUAAUUUACAAAUAUAUAUUUUUUAAUUCCUACAAUGUGAAUUUCUGGAUUUUUUUUUCACAUUCUGUCUCACAGUUGAAGUGUACUACCCAUGAUGAAAAUUACAGACCUCUGUCAUCAUUUUAAGUGGGAGAACUUGCACAAUCGGUGGCUGACUAAAUACUUUUUUGCCCCACUGUAUAUAAAGCUCUUUUCACAAAUAAAAUCACAAAGCGCGGUACGCGCUUUAAUAAGGGAAAAAAAACAUGAAAACACGAGGGAAAUCACAAAGGACAUAAAAGACAAUAAAAGAGCACCGGGCUGAUGCUCCCAACUGACACUUCUACAUCUAUCCAUCCAUCCAUGUUCUACCGCUUGUCCCUUUUGGGGUCUUUGGAGCCUAUCUCAGCUGCAUAUGGGCAGAAGGCAGUGUACACCCCGGACAAGUCGCCACACAUAAAACUACAAAAAUAAAACAAACACCAAAAAAAAAGAG